GAUGAAGAACGCAGCGAAAUGCGAUAAGUAAUGUGAAUUACAGAAUUCAGUGAAUCAUCGAAUCUUUGAACGCACAUUGCGCCCGCCAGUAUUCUGGCGGGCAUGCCUGUUCGAGCGUCAUUUCAACCAUCAAGCCCCCGGCUUGUGUUGGGGACCUGCGGCUGCCGCAGGCCCUGAAAACCAGUGGCGGGCUCGCUAGUCACUCCGAGCGUAGUAAUACAUCUCGCUCAGGGCGUGCUGCGGGUUCCGGCCGUUAAAAAGCCUUAUUUACCCAAGGUUGACCUCGGAUCAGGUAGGAAGACCCGCUGAACUUAAGCAUAUCAAUAAGCGGAGGA
rnacentral:misc_RNA from 1 species